CUUCAAAUGGCCAACUUGUUCAAACAGCCUAUGUUUCUAGAACUUUACCAUGUUUCCAAGGAUAUCGACCACCAUUCCCACUGAUGUCAUCUGAUUGAGCAUGAAGGGAGUUUCAAAGACUGCACACAUCUCAGGUUGAGAACUCCUGAUUGAAUGCUUUGGAGAAAGCCUGGGCUCCAUGCUUUCGAAGAGUUCAGAGCCUGGAAUCAAGAAGUUGGACCCUUCUGGGAUCUGUUUAAUUUUUUCACUGUCCCUGUGGAAGUGGGGCAAGUCACUCUUCAAUGGCAACAUCCAAGCUUCCUCUAUGGUGAACCACCUGGAUCUCUCCUCAUGGCAGCUGUAGGAAACACAGGAACUCCGUGACCUGGAAAAUGUGGGACAACUGCCACAAGGUGACCCUGGAAG